GCGAGGAGCUGCCCGAGUCGGAACAACGAGGAUCUGUCCGAGGUGCUGAAACUGACACGGCGCGAGACAGAGAGCUGUCCGUGCUGAACCUCGCACGCGCUGCUUCAGCUCUGUACUGUUCGCGAGCACAAUCCGCGGUUAAUCCGCUCUCUCGCUCUCUCUCUUUCUCCUGGACCGUUCCGGUUAACAGCGAAUACGCGACGCUUCACAUCAUCUUCGCGACGUUUUGCAUUUUUCUGGAGGACAUUACACGACGAGAAUCACAGGAUGCGCUUCGGUACAGCGGUCAUGCCCGUGAGAAGUGCAGACCGGUCCCACGCGCUCGUUCUCGCGCUCAUCGUUACUGCUUCUCUGACGAGCUCGCGAGGCCAAGAUGAUGGCACUGUACCAACUGACGGAGGUGAAUCAAAUUUGGAACAAGAGCUCAACCCCAUUGCCAACAAACAUGACUCCACGAGGGAGCUACACAAGACGGCAACAACGUUUCCACUGAGCCACCCACCCAACCUGAAAGACCUUCUCCUCCAUGAGACUCUGCUCACUAAGAACUUUGAAGGAGACCAGCAGUUCUUUAGAGAUGGUGGUCAUAUGGAGUCACAUCCAACCGCCCCAAGACCCCAAGAACCGGGAGAUCCACUUGGUUCCUCUCAUGUGGUUCCACAUGAAGAUGCACCAGCUUUCUCGGACAUCGCUACCACGGUCAUGACAACGGUCAGUCCUACCAGUCCUGGGAAGCUGGUCUCCGUUGGCCAAAAUGGGUCCAGCAAGAGAAGGUUCGAAGGAAAGCUAGAGGACUUGGGAGGUAAAGAGGUUAUGGCUACCAGUCCAUCACGAAUUGGACAACAAAGAGCUUCACCAAAGGCUCAACAGCCUUCCAGGGUGGGUUCGACAAAAAAAGAAGUUAGGAAGUGGAUUAUGGGAAACCCCACAGAGAUGGAUGGAGAUACAACCAUAACAAGCAUCAUCCACACCACAACAGUAAUCAGCACUAUGAGAGAACAAGGUCAGUGCAGCAUGAACUUGACAGACGCCGAGGGCUACGUUGAGAUGCCGCCAAGCUCUGAUUCAUUCGACACCGCUAUGGAUUGCACGUUCUAUGUGAGCGUCUAUCUCGGAUACGGGGUUGAGAUUCAGGUGCUGAACGUGACGCUGGAGGAAGGUGAGAACGUGGUGCUGGAAGACCUAGGUGGCCUUGAGCCCUCCAUCCUGGCCAACAAGUCAGGGCUGAUGAGAGGGCUAGUGUUAAAAAGCUCCAGCAAUCAGAUCUCCAUCUGCUUUACCAGCCGGAAGCAGCCGAGACCGGGAUCACUGCUGCUGCGCUACAGAGCCUUUGUUUUGAGCUGUGCUUUCCCACAAGCGCUAGCUAAUGGUGAGGUGACUGUGAGCAGCCUCCACGUAGGAGGAGAGGCCUAUUUUUUCUGCCUAACUGGAUACCAGCUCCACGGCGUGUCGUCUCUGACGUGCCGCAACGCCACCAUGCCGUACUGGAGCGGCAAAGAGCCCAAAUGUAUAGCCUCUUGUGGAGGGAUGCUUAAAAAUGCCACUCUGGGCCGCAUCGUCUCUCCGGGGUUUCCGGGAAACUACAGCAACAACCUGACAUGUCACUGGGUUCUGGAGUCCCCCAAGGGCCACAGGCUGCACGUGCACUUUGAGAAAGUUGCUCUGGCUGAGGAUGAUGACAGGCUGCUGAUCAAGAACGGGAACAACAUCGACUCGCCUCCUGUGUACGACUCGUACGAGGUGGAAUAUCUUCCCAACGAGGGGGUAAUGAGCACGGGGAGGCAUCUGUUUAUCGAGUUCACCACGGACGAGAGCGGCACCUGCACUGGCGCUGCCAUACGAUACGAAGCUUUUGCCGAAGGCACGUGCUACAAGCCCUUUGUGAAAUACGGCAACUUCUCGAGCAGCGAUGCGUCGUUCGGCGUGGGUACGGUGGUGGAGUUCUCCUGUGAGCCGGGCUACACACUGGAGCAGGGCUCCGUCACCAUCGAGUGUGUGGACCCUGAGAACCCACAGUGGAAUGAGACGGAGCCGGCCUGCCGUGCUGUGUGCAGCGGGGAGAUCACAGAUUCAGCAGGAGUGGUGCUCUCACCGAACUGGCCUGAAGCCUAUGACAAAGGACAGGACUGUAUCUGGGGCAUCCACGUGGAGGAGGACAAGCGAAUCCUGCUGGACGUCCAAGUCCUUCAUCUUGGAAAGAACGACAUACUGACGUUUUACGAUGGCGAUGACCUCACGGCCAACAUCCUGGGCCAAUACAGCGGCACGCUCCCCAGAUUCAAGCUCUACACCUCCACGGCGGACGUCACCAUCCAGUUCCAGUCCGAUCCGGCCACCAACAUCUACGGUUACAACAACGGCUUUGUGGUGCAUUUCUUCGAGGUUGCCCGCAAUGACACGUGCUCAGAAUUACCGGAGAUCACGAACGGCUGGAAGAGCACGUCCCAUCCGGACCUGAUCCACGGAACGGUGGUGACCUACCAGUGCUACCCGGGCUUCCAGGUGGUCGGAUCCGAGAUCCUCAUGUGCCAGUGGGAUCUUACGUGGAGCGGAGACGUGCCCAGCUGUGAGAAAGUGAUGUUGUGUCAGGACCCGGGUUCUGUAGAACACGGACGCAGGCUGAUGACGGGUUCACGCUUCACUGUGGGCUCCACCGUGCACUAUAUGUGUAAUAAAGGCUACACGCUCUCAGGCCCGAGCCUGCUCACCUGCUACAGCCGUGACACGGCCGAGCCCAAGUGGAGCGAAAAGAUCCCCAAGUGUGUCCCUGAAAGGUACGAACCUUGUGCUAACCCCGGAGCUCCUUCCACUGCCAUUCAGAGCUCAGAGAAAGCCUUCUUCCAGGCUGGAGAGACGCUGAGCUUCAUCUGUCGCCCAGGAUACGAGCUGCACGGCGAAACCACCAUCCGCUGCCUCCCGGGGCAUCCUUCCGAGUGGAGCGGAGCGCCGCCUGCAUGCCGGGCUUCCGCAAGAGAUGUUAAUGAGCGCAGACUGGACGUUCUCAGCACUGAUUUUAGUACCGAGGGCACAGACACUGCCAUCGCAGUCAUGCUUCCUGCUGCAGUGGUGCUGCUGGUCAUCCUGGGCAUUUUCCUUUACUUCUCCAAAGUCCAAGGAAAGUCCACGCGCCUCUCCAGCUCCUCCUCACUUCCCUACGACAACAUGACCGAGGAAUCGGCGUUCGACAACCCCGUCUUUGAGACCGGAGUAAGUAUGGACACCGUGAACCUGAGAGACGUGGACUCCCUGAACACCGUGGUCCUGUCCUGAUCGCUCGGCUCCAUCUGUCUCUCAUCUCAUCAUCGUAAGACGGUAGCAUUCGCGCCGUCCGAUUCCAUUUUCACCUCAGAUCACUGACUCUGACUUCCUGCCUCUGAAAACUGGUAUUAAACAAUGUGCUCCUGUCUUAGCUAGAGAUACAGAUUCAGGAGUAGCUUUCGGAAAACCCGUGUCCACCAUCUGGUGGCAGAAAGCACAGGUUGUAACAAGGGCGUAUAACCAACUUAAGCUCACCCAUCCAUCCAAACACUCAUCCAUGUAUUACAAUCUAGUACUGUUAACUUCACAUUAAGGAACUUCAUGGUUUGUUCAUGUUAGAUAAUGUGUUGAAUAACUGUAUCAGUCCAGCGCUAUACCGCUGGACCAUACGGUAGAUUUGUGUAGGUGAAAUGUGUAGAGCUCACGUUCUGGGCCAGUUAUAUGGAACAUGGAAAACUGUGUGUAAAAGUUUAGUGUGACGUAAUAAAGGCCUUGUAUUCAUUUAAAGCUCAGAAGCAAAUAUGCUACGUGUGAUGCACCACUAUGUGUCCAGUGAAAACCUUUAUAAUUGGAAUCGACAAUUGGUGGAUGUGUAACGACACUGAAAUUAUGUAGAAGCAUGAGAAGAAUAAAGGGGUUUGGUAUGACACUGACUCGUCUACAUAGUGUACAGAGCAUUUGUUUGCUCUUCAACCUCAUCCAUUUCAUUCCCUGCAUCCUGACUGAAUGAGUUUGUUCCAGUUACUUUAUUUAUUUCCAUUUGUUUAUAAUUUCUUGUGGUUUUGCAUACAUGUGGAUUUGUGAUUACUGGAAUGAUGUGGGUCCCGACAGAAGUCAGACAGAAGAGGCGGAAGCAGAAACACUCAGCCCCGGCUGGCCUUCCAUGAUAACUAACGGCUGUGUGUGGGGGACUGUGGCUGCACCAUCAGACGAGCAACAAGGAGACCAGACAAUAUGAGAUGGCUGUUUAGAGACCAUUCAGCAAUGCUCUCUGCAUCUCCUCUCCGAUAGCUCCUCCCCCUUCCUCUUCCUCGUCACACUUCUCCACUCCCUCCUUCCCGAGCUGAGCGCUUGUACAGUCUAUUUUUCUCCAGACGAUGCCAGAAAGAUGGUGGACAAUAAUGUUAUUUUUGUAGCGCUAUAAAAACGACCCAUCUUUUUUUUUUCAGUGAGCUGUGAAUAUGUGCGUAUUAAGACGACGACGACGAACAAUAACAGGGUGCGUUUUGAGGACGUCCACGAGAUGGGACAUGUGCUUUAGGCUUGAGGACGAGGGAGUGCUCUGUGUUAAUUAUGUUAAUAUGCCUGUAUUAAUAAUGCCAUCACUUGGUCUAUUUACUACUUCAGCGCUGUUGAAUGUCU